GACGAACGCUGGCGGCGUGCUUAACACAUGCAAGUCGAACGGAAAGGCCCUGCUUGCAGGGUACUCGAGUGGCGAACGGGUGAGUAACACGUGGGUGAUCUGCCCUGCACUUCGGGAUAAGCCUGGGAAACUGGGUCUAAUACCGGAUAGGAGCCAUUUUUAGUGUGAUGGUUGGAAAGUUUUUUCGGUGUAGGAUGAGCUCGCGGCCUAUCAGCUUGUUGGUGGGGUAAUGGCCUACCAAGGCGGCGACGGGUAGCCGGCCUGAGAGGGUGGACGGCCAAAUUGGGGCUGGGAUACGGCCCAGACUCCUACGGGAGGCAGCAGUGGGGAAUAUUGCACAAUGGGCGCAAGCCUGAUGCAGCGACGCCGCGUGGGGGAUGACGGCCUUCGGGUUGUAAACUCCUUUCGCUAGGGACGAAGCUUUUUGUGACGGUACCUAGAUAAGAAGCACCGGCUAACUACGUG
rnacentral:rRNA from 1 species